rnacentral:rRNA from 1 species
GACGAACGCUGGCGGGAGGCUUAACACAUGCAAGUCGAGGGGCAGCACGUCUUCGGAUGGUGGCGACCGGCGCACGGGUGCGUAACGCGUAUGCAACCUGCCUUAUGCAGGGGGAUAGCCCGGGGAAACCCGGAUUAAUACCUCAUGAGACCUUUUUCCCGCAUGGGGUGAAGGUGAAAGAUUUAUCGGCAUAAGAUGGGCAUGCGUCUGAUUAGCUAGUUGGUAGGGUAAAGGCCUACCAAGGCGACGAUCAGUAGGGGUUCUGAGAGGAACAUCCCCCACACUGGUACUGAGACACGGACCAGACUCCUACGGGAGGCAGCAGUGAGGAAUAUUGGUCAAUGGGCGGAAGCCUGAACCAGCCAUGCCGCGUGCAGGAUGACGGCCCCACGGGUUGUAAACUGCUUUUCCCCGGGGCGAAUAACCCCCUCGCGAGGGGGAUGCCGGUACCGGGGGAAUAAGGAUCGGCUAACUCCGUG